UAGUUAGUUGGUGGGGUAAGGGCCUACCAAGGCGAUGAUCGGUAGCUGGUCUGAGAGGAUGGUCAGCCACACUGGGACUGAGACACGGCCCAGACUCUUACGGGAGGCAGCAGUGGGGAAUAUUGGACAAUGGGGGCAACCCUGAUCCAGCAAUGCCGCGUGUGUGAAGAAGGCCUGAGGGUUGUAAAGCACUUUUAUUGGGGAGGAGGAUUGGUUUGGUUAAGAGCUGGAUUGAUUGACGUUACCCGAAGAAACAGCACCGGCUAACUCCGUGCCAGCAGCCGCGGUAAUACGGAGGGUGCGAGCGUUAAUCGGAAUUACUGGGCGUAAAGGGUGCGUAGGUGGUUUAUUAAGUUAUCUGUGAAAUUCCUGGGCUUAACCUGGGCGUGUCAGAUAAGACUGAUGGACUCGAGUAUGGGAGAGGGUAGCGGAAUUUCCGGUGUAGCGGUGAAAUGCGUAGAGAUCGGAAGGAACACCGGUGGCGAAGGCGGCUAUCUGGCCUGAUACUGACACUGAGGCACGAAAGCAUGGGGAGCAAACAGGAUUAGAUACCCUGGUAGUCCAUGCUGUAAACGAUGUCAACUAGCUGUUGGUCACGUGAAUGUGAUUAGUGGCGA
rnacentral:rRNA from 1 species